AGGCAGCAGUGGGGAAUAUUGGACAAUGGGCGCAAGCCUGAUCCAGCCAUGCCGCGUGUGUGAAGAAGGCCUUCGGGUUGUAAAGCACUUUUGUUCGGGAAGAAAAGCUACCGGUUAAUACCCGGGAGUCAUGACGGUACCGAAAGAAUAAGCACCGGCUAACUUCGUGCCAGCAGCCGCGGUAAUACGAAGGGUGCAAGCGUUACUCGGAAUUACUGGGCGUAAAGCGUGCGUAGGUGGUGAGUUAAGUCUGUCGUGAAAGCCCCGGGCUCAACCUGGGAAUGGCGAUGGAUACUGGCUCGCUAGAGUGCGGUAGAGGAGAGUGGAAUUCCCGGUGUAGCAGUGAAAUGCGUAGAGAUCGGGAGGAACAUCAGUUGCGAAGGCGGCUCUCUGGACCAACACUGACACUGAGGCACGAAAGCGUGGGGAGCAAACAGGAUUAGAUACCCUGGUAG
rnacentral:rRNA from 1 species